GACGAACGCUGGCGGCGUGCUUAACACAUGCAAGUCGAACGCUGAAGCUUGGUGCUUGCACUGGGUGGAUGAGUGGCGAACGGGUGAGUAAUACGUGAGUAACCUGCCCUUGACUCUGGGAUAAGCCUGGGAAACUGGGUCUAAUACUGGAUACGACAUGUCACCGCAUGGUGGUGUGUGGAAAGGGUUUUACUGGUUUUGGAUGGGCUCACGGCCUAUCAGCUUGUUGGUGGGGUAAUGGCUCACCAAGGCGACGACGGGUAGCCGGCCUGAGAGGGUGACCGGCCACACUGGGACUGAGACACGGCCCAGACUCCUACGGGAGGCAGCAGUGGGGAAUAUUGCACAAUGGGCGAAAGCCUGAUGCAGCGACGCCGCGUGAGGGAUGACGGCCUUCGGGCUGUAAACCUCUUUCAGCACGGAAGAAGCGAAAGUGACGGUACGUGCAGAAGAAGCGCCGGCUAACUACGUG
rnacentral:rRNA from 1 species